GGACUACCCGGGUAUCUAAUCCUGUUUGCUCCCCACGCUUUCGCGCCUCAGCGUCAGUAAUGGGCCAGUGAGUCGCCUUCGCCACUGGUGUUCUUCCGAAUAUCUACGAAUUUCACCUCUACACUCGGAGUUCCACUCACCUCUCCCACACUCUAGGUAUCCAGUAUCAAAGGCAGUUCCAGGGUUGAGCCCUGGGAUUUGACCCCUGACUUAGACACCCGCCUACGCGCCCUUUACGCCCAGUAAUUCCGAGCAACGCUAGCCCCCUUCGUAUUACCGCGGCUGCUGGCAC
rnacentral:rRNA from 1 species